ACGUGAGAGAAUGGUUACCGCGGCUGCUGGCACGGAGUUAGCCGGUGCUUCUUCUGUGAGUGAUGUCCUUCCUGCCGGCUAUUAACCCGCAGGCCUUCUUCCUCACUGAAAGUGCUUUACAACCCGAAGGCCUUCUUCACACACGCGGCAUGGCUGGAUCAGGGUUGCCCCCAUUGUCCAAUAUUCCCCACUGCUGCCUCCCGUAGGAGUCUGGGCCGUGUCUCAGUCCCAGUGUGGCUGAUCAUCCUCUCAGACCAGCUACGGAUCGUCGCCUUGGUGAGCCGUUACCUCACCAACCAGCUAAUCCGACAUAGGCUCAUCCGAUAGCGCGAGGCCCGAAGGUCCCCCGCUUUCCCCCGUAGGGCGUAUGCGGUAUUAGCCUGGGUUUCCCCAGGUUAUCCCCCACUACCGGGCAGAUUCCUAUGCAUUACUCACCCGUCCGCCGCUCGCCACCAGGGAGCAAGCUCCCCGUGCUGCCGCUCGACUUGCAUGUGUUAGGCCUGCCGCCAGCGUUCAAU
rnacentral:rRNA from 1 species